rnacentral:rRNA from 1 species
GGACCCGCACAAGCGGUGGAGCAUGUGGUUUAAUUCGAUGCAACGCGAAGAACCUUACCAGGGCUUGACAUCCUGCGAACCUCUGGGGAAACCGGAGGGUGCCUUCGGGAACGCAGUGACAGGUGGUGCAUGGCUGUCGUCAGCUCGUGUCGUGAGAUGUUGGUUAAGUCCCGCAACGAGCGCAACCCACGUCUUUAGUUGCCAGCAUUUAGUUGGGCACUCUAGAGAGACCGCCGGUGACAAACCGGAGGAAGGUGUGGAUGACGUCAAGUCAUCAUGCCCCUUACGUCCUGGCUACACACGUACUACAAUGCUACGGACAAAGGGCAGCAAGUUCGCGAGGACAAG